GUAAAAAGUCGUAACAAGGUUUCCGUAGGUGAACCUGCGGAAGGAUCAUUAUAGAGAACCUGGUAUGGGUAAAACCUGCCAACUCUCCACCCUUUGUUUACAUUACCUUUGUUGCUUUGGCAGGCCCGUCCUUGGCACCGCCGGCUUCGGCUGGCCAGUGCCUGCCAGAGGACCUAAAACUCUGUUUAAAUGUAUUGUCUGAGUACUAUAUAAUAGUUAAAACUUUCAACAACGGAUCUCUUGGUUCUGGCAUCGAUGAAGAACGCAGCGAAAUGCGAUAAGUAAUGUGAAUUGCAGAAUUCAGUGAAUCAUCGAAUCUUUGAACGCACAUUGCGCCCUCUGGUAUUCCGGGGGGCAUGCCUGUUCGAGCGUCAUUACAACCCUCAAGCUCUGCUUGGUAUUAGGCUUCACCCGCGAGGGUGUGCCGUAAAACUAGUGGCGGUGCCAUUUGGCUUCAAGCGUAGUAAUUUUUCUCGCUUUAGAAGACCAAGUGUGUAUUUGCGCAACAACCCCAAUUUUUAUCAAAGGUUGACCUCGGGAUCAGGUAGGGGAUACCCGCUGAACUUUAAGCAUAUCAAUAAGCGGAGGGAAAAGAAACCCAACC
rnacentral:rRNA from 1 species